rnacentral:rRNA from 1 species
UACGUAGGGUGCAAGCGUUAAUCGGAAUUACUGGGCGUAAAGCGUGCGCAGGCGGUUUUGUAAGUCUGUCGUGAAAUCCCCGGGCUCAACCUGGGAAUUGCGAUGGAGACUGCAAGGCUAGAAUCUGGCAGAGGGGGGUAGAAUUCCACGUGUAGCAGUGAAAUGCGUAGAGAUGUGGAGGAACACCGGAUGGCGAAAGGCAGCCCCCUGGGGUCAAGACUGACGCU